CCUACGGGUGGCAGCAGUGGGGAAUAUUGCGCAAUGGGCGAAAGCCUGACGCAGCGACGCCGCGUGAGGGAUGAAGGUCUUCGGAUCGUAAACCUCUGUCAGCAGGGAAGAACGGUCACUGUGCUAAUCAGCAGUGAAUUGACGGUACCUGCAAAGGAAGCACCGGCUAACUCCGUGCCAGCAGCCGCGGUAAUACGGAGGGUGCGAGCGUUAAUCGGAAUUACUGGGCGUAAAGCGCUCGUAGGCGGUAUGUCAAGUCAAGGGUGAAAUCCCCGCGCUCAACGUGGGAACUGCCUUUGAAACUGGCAAACUGGAGUGUGUGAGAGGAUAGUGGAAUUCCAGGUGUAGGGGUGAAAUGCGUAGAUAUCUGGAAGAACAUCAGUGGCGAAGGCGACUAUCUGGCACAUAACUGACGCUGAGGAGCGAAAGCGUGGGUAGCAAACAGGAUUAGAUACCCUUGUAGUC
rnacentral:rRNA from 1 species